GAUGAACGCUGGCGGCGUGCCUAAUACAUGCAAGUCGAGCGAACAGACGAGGAGCUUGCUCCUCUGACGUUAGCGGCGGACGGGUGAGUAACACGUGGAUAACCUACCUAUAAGACUGGGAUAACUUCGGGAAACCGGAGCUAAUACCGGAUAAUAUAUUGAACCGCAUGGUUCAAUAGUGAAGGACGGUUUUGCUGUCACUUAUAGAUGGAUCCGCGCCGCAUUAGCUAGUUGGUAAGGUAACGGCUUACCAAGGCGACGAUGCGUAGCCGACCUGAGAGGGUGAUCGGCCACACUGGAACUGAGACACGGUCCAGACUCCUACGGGAGGCAGCAGUAGGGAAUCUUCCGCAAAGGGCGAAAGCCUGACGGAGCAACGCCGCGUGAGUGAUGAAGGUCUUCGGAUCGUAAAACUCUGUUAUUAGGGAAGAACAAAUGUGUAAGUAACUAUGCACGUCUUGACGGUACCUAAUCAGAAAGCCACGGCUAACUACGUG
rnacentral:rRNA from 1 species